GAUGAAGAACGCAGCGAAAUGCGAUAAGUAGUGUGAAUUGCAGAAUUCAGUGAAUCAUCGAAUCUUUGAACGCACAUUGCGCCCCUUGGUAUCCCGAGGGGCAUGCCUGUUCGAGCGUCAUUUCACCACUCAAGCCUGGCUUGGUGUUGGGCGACGUCCCCUUUGGGGACGCGCCUCGAAACGCUCGGCGGCGUGGCACCGGCUUUAAGCGUAGCAGAAUCUUUCGCUUUGGAAGUCGGGGCCCCGUCUGCCGGAAGACCUACUCGCAAGGUUGACCUCGGAUCAGGCAGGGAUACCCGCUGAACUUAAGCAUCUCAAUAAGCGGAGGA
rnacentral:misc_RNA from 1 species